UACAUUUAUUUUGUCACUUGCCCAAAGCUUUCCUUAACUGUAACAGUGCAUGGCCAGUUUGUUUUAGUGAUUAUGAAACUGUCUUCUCUGGUCCUCUGUGCUGUCUUAUCUUCUAUUCUCUAGUUCCAGAUCUUGGCCAUAAUUUCUACACUCAAGCAGAUGGAGAUAAUAUAAGUUUCUGGUUCACUAUUUUUAUGUAAAAAUGUGUUUUGAUAUUUUCUGAAAUUCUCCAUAGAUUUGAUAACUUCACGAUAUGGAGGUGUUUUUGUACGUAAAUUGAGUUGUGUGUAUCAAAUUGAAGAAUGCCUCUAAUGAGAAGAGAGCAAGAAUCUUAGAGUAGAUUUGAUGUUGAAAUAGGACUCAAUAACAACAGGGUUUGAUUGGUCAUUUUUGAUUAGGUAGACAAAUAACUCAUUUUUUUAAAGGGAAAUAAUUGGUUUGUCAUUACUAAUUUCUGCCCAGAAAAGUAUAGGCUUCUAUAAUGCCCCUGUGAGUUCAAGUAUUGGAUUUAAUUCUGUUCUGAAAUAGGACAGAAAUAGGAAUAUAACACAUUCCUCUGUUAUCAAGUACUUAAGAAUCUGGGCAUCUGGCAUUCCUGAAUCUUGAGCCUUUAUACAGGCAACAGGAACUUUUACAAUCAAGGUAUCUAAUACCACCAUCUUCUUUCCAAGUGUGUAGACCUGAUUAGGUUGUUCAGAAAAGAAUACCUUUCAUUUUUGCCUUCACGUUUACAAGGGUGGAGUAAUGUACAGCAGUCCUUCCCUUAUUUGUGGGGGAAUACAUUCCAAGACCUUCAAUGGGUUCCUGAAACUAUGGAUUGUAUCAAACUAUAUAUAUAUAAUGUUUUUUCCUGUACAGACAUAAUAAAAUUUAUGGCUUCUCUUUAGCAUACCUGAAUUGCUAGCAUCACUUCUCCUGUGCUUUGGGGCCAUUAAGUUAAAUAGGGUUACUUGAACACAAACAAUGCAAUAUAAUGACAGUAAAUCUGAUAACCUCCCCCACUCCUAAGGGACUAGCAUUUGGGUAGCGUGUGCAGCAUGGAUACACUGGGCAAAGGGAUGCCUUAUGUCCUGGUUGGGAUAGAGCAAGAUUUUAUUAUACUUCUCAGAACAGUGUGCAGUUUCAAAUUUAUUAUGUCUGGAGUUUUCCAUAUUUUUGGACUGUGGUUGACCAUAGGUAACUGAAAUCAUGGAAAGUAAAACAGUGCUUGAAGGGGAACUAUUGGAAGGAUGUAAAGCAAGUGAUUGUUGCAUCUUAAGAGUUAAGCUCACCGAGGGUAUUGUUAAGUAAUCCACAGUGUUAGAAACUGAAAGAGAAGCAGAGUAGAAUAAUAAUCUCUCAUGUUUUGACAUUGGAUAAAUUUUUAGUGAUCCUGGGUAGAGGUAAUACAGGUCAGUUUGAAGAAGUUGAUUGGAUAUUGCCCAUUAGGGAGAAUGCAUCAGUAUAAAUGGCUUGUGCAGUGAAAAGGAGAGCUACGUGAUGUUGUUGGGGGAGAGGACCAAGGAAUAGGAAAUGGCAUCCUGAUGGAUCACAGAGGAAUCAUCCUGGCAUAGAGGGAGGACUAGGGUCAGUCCUGCCCUGGGGACCUGCUGUGGGGGAAGGUACCAGUUCUUCAAAGUGUCAAGUUUAUCAGUGGUGGACCUGUAAUUGAGCAAGUCACAUUAUAACCUUGAAGGAGGUACUUGCGAAAUGUGGUAAUAUGUACCUAAUAAGUGAUCCUCUCUACCUGAUUCACAUUCUUAUGGACAGGGAACAUGUCUUUUUUAUCUCUUUCAACAUAUUGUUCAGUUCAGUAGGUUUGUGUGCUCCUUGAAUUAAUUGUUGGGCAGUAUAGAAAGUUUUUUUUUUUAAACCUAUUUUGAGCCUUAACGUCUGCAUCAAAAAUGAGAAACUAAAUUUUAUGUUUUAAAAAGUUUGUCUCAGCUCUUAAGCCCUGUACUACCUGUUCUCUUUUCUACUGAACUUAUUU